rnacentral:tRNA from 1 species
UAGCCUAGUGGUUAGGGCUCUGGAUCGCCAAUCCGGAGACGGCGGGUUCAAUUCCCGU